CCUACGGGUGGCAGCAGUGGGGAAUAUUGGACAAUGGGGGGAACCCUGAUCCAGCCAUGCCGCGUGUGUGAAGAUGGCCCUCGGGUUGUAAAGCACUUUCAGUGAGGAAGAACGCCUGGUGGUUAAUACCCAUCAGGAAAGACAUCACUCACAGAAGAAGCACCGGCUAACUCCGUGCCAGCAGCCGCGGUAAUACGGAGGGUGCGAGCGUUAAUCGGAAUUACUGGGCGUAAAGCGCGCGUAGGUGGCUUGAUAAGCCGGUUGUGAAAGCCCCGGGCUCAACCUGGGAACGGCAUCCGGAACUGUCAAGCUAGAGUGCAGGAGAGGAAGGUAGAAUUCCCGGUGUAGCGGUGAAAUGCGUAGAGAUCGGGAGGAAUACCAGUGGCGAAGGCGGCCUUCUGGACUGACACUGACACUGAGGUGCGAAAGCGUGGGUAGCAAACAGGAUUAGAUACCCGAGUAGUC
rnacentral:rRNA from 1 species